AUGCUCCGGCUCAGGUGCUGCCUCCUCACCCAGCUCCUCUCGCCUCCCUCCGCAUCUCCCGCCUCCCAGCUCCGCCGCCUCAUAUCCGCCGCCGCGCCCGCCAUCUUCCCGAACCCUAGCUUCGAUGUGGAGGGGUACCUCGUCUCCACCUGCGGCCUCACCCGAGCACAGGCCCUCAAGGCCUCGGCCAAGCUCUCCCACCUCAAGUCCCCUUCCAAGCCCGACGCCGUGCUCGCCUUCCUCGCCGGCCUCGGCCUCUCCGGCGCCGACGUCGCCGCCCUCGUCGCCAAGGACCCGCUGUUCCUCUGCGCCAGAGUGGAGAAAACCCUGGCCCCCGUCGUCGCUGGGCUCACCGGCCUCGGCCUGUCACGUUCUGACAUCGCGCGCCUCGUCUCGCUCUCCCGUGACAAAUUCCGAUGUAGAUCCAUCGUCUCCUAUCUACAAUACCACCUGCACCUCUUCGUCUCCUUUGAGAACCUCCUCCCUGCUCUCAGGCGCGGCUUAUGCCUUGUUUCGGCCGACCUCGAGACAGUGGUCAAGCCCAAUGUUGCGUUCCUUAAAGAGUGCGGGCUAGGUGAUUGCGACAUUGCCAAGUUGUGUAUCGGUCAACCAUGGCUGCUCGCCUCAAGCUUAGAGUGCGUCCGGUCAGUGGCGGCACGCGCCGAAGGUAUUGGUGUGCCCUGUGGCUCUGCGAUGUUCAGGCACGCGUUGUGGGCUGUUGCACGCCUCAGCCAGGAGAAGAUCGCCGCCAAAGUGGAGCACUUGAAGAAGAUGCUCAGGCUGCAGGGCAUCUCAGAGUUCCUCAUCUCCAAGGCAGGGCUGGAACCAGCAUACAUUGCUCAUCGGCCCGCCAUGCUCAAUUAUAGCCUGGAGGGCCGGAUCAAACCCCGGCACUACGUUGUAAAGUAUCUCAAGGAAAAUGGAUUUCUAGAUCAUGACCGGGACUAUUAUAAUACGCUCUGUAUCAGCGAAAAGGUAUUCAUGGAGAGGUUCAUAUGUCCUCACAAGGAAGCUGCACCCCACCUUGCUGAAGACUAUGCCGAUGCUUGUAGAGGGGAAGUGCCUUUCAGUUUCAGAUUUACAUAA
rnacentral:rRNA from 1 species